UUAAAUAAUAUGAUUUCGAUAAUAUAUAGGUCAAGAUAAGUCGAGAUUGGGAUUAGAUCGGGGAAAAAGAAAAGUGGACGAAUAGUCGAUAAUUUUCAUCCGAGCAACUCGAGGUAAGUUCGUAUAAUUAGAAUUAAACUUUUAAAUACUUGUAAUUGUUUGAAAUGAAUGUAUAUAGUUGAGGAAUUGAAGUACUUGAAAUACAAAUGCCUUAUUGAUAUAGUCUGAUGGUUAUCGAGCCCCGUUUGAAUCGUAGGAAUUCGUAGGUUGUAUGUAACUAAGGUUACCGUUUUGGUCGAGAUCUUGCGUGUGUUGCGUACUCACCACAGCUCGUAUGAGCUUACCGAUAUAUCAGCUCAAUAGAGCUUACUGUCCCUCAGCUCAGGAAGAGCUUACUAAUCAUAGCUCGAAAAAGCAGAAAAGAUAAUGAAUCAACGAAUUACUGAUUUAUAUGUAAUGUAUAUCACCCGAGUAUCCCUCGAUAUUCUAAUAGGUUCAACAGGCAUAAAUUUUGUUAUUAGUUAAAAAGCUAUGUGUCUAUAUUGAUGAGUUACUGUUAUCGAAUGAAUUGUUUAUACGAUUGAGAGUGAAUUGUUACAAAUGAUGUAUGUGAUAUACGGAUUUGAUAUGAUACAAUGUAUUGAGUAUUAAAUUGAGAUAAUGGAUGAUUCAUGUACUUAUGUGACUAACUUGUUGAUGAAUGUUUGUGUUUAGCCAUUUGGAAAUUAAAUUGAGUAUACCUUAUUUAUUGUAUUGAUUAUGUAUAAAUGGUAAGUUUAAUUCUAAAUUAUACGGGCUUACUAAGCUAUUAAGCUUACUCUGUUUCUUUUCCAUGUUUUAUAGAGGUUCGAUAGCUCACUCGAUUCAGAUAAAGUAGGAGAUACAUAUCACACUAUCCAGUUGCCGAUUGGUACUUUUGAACUUAUGGAUAUAUGUAAAUAUGACAUGUUGAACUAAUGGAUAUAUGUAAAUGUGGCAUGUAUAGGCUAGAUAUAAAGAUGAUAGUUAUGGUUACUUGAGAUAGUAACUUUGGUACAUGUUGUGGUAUAAGUUAGAGCCAUGUGAUUUGGCUUAACUUUUAUAAUGUUUUGGUUGUGUAUCAGUAUUCAAAUAUGGUAUGUUUUGGAAAGUAGUAAAUGCAAUGGUAAUAUGCAAAUGUUGUCUUGAUAUGUAGUAGGCAUAUGAAUAGAAAAUGCAUGAUAUUAAUUGGGUAUUUGAAAACUAUGUUGAAUUGGUAUAAAAUGUGUAUGAAAUGUUGUGGAUUGCUACUUAAUGAGUUAUAAAAUAUGGCAAUUUAUGCUUGUGUAGGUAUGUAAAACUAGGGAGGCAAAAUGGCUUUGCAAAUAGCCUAUUUUUGUCCACACGGGCAGAGACACAGGCGUGUGUCUCGGCCAUAUGUGACACACAGUCAUGUUACAAAGCCGUGUGUCCCUUGGUAUUGAAAUUAAAAUGAAAUUAGUAUACUCCACACGGUCUCACACACGGGCGUGUGACUGGUCGUGUGGUACAAGUUAGUAUACCCUACAGGUUUGGCACGGCCUAGCACACGGGUGUGUGUGGCCACUUCGAAGGGCACAUGGGCUAGAUACACGGGCGUGUGGUUGGCUGUGUGACCCAAGUCAGUAUGUACCCCCUGUUUUCACACGGCCUAUGACAUGUGCGUGUCUGGUGGCCGUGUGAGACACACAGCCUAGCUACACAGGCGUGUGUCUCCUAUUUUGAGAAAAAUUUUCAAAGUUCUAUGAAAGUUCUUAAGUUACCGGUUUAGUCCUGAAUCACUCUUAAAACAUGUUUAAGGCCUCCUAGGCUAUUAUAAGGGUCAAAUUAAUUGAAAUUGAAUGAUGAAUAUUUGAAUUGAGAAAAUGUUUGCUAAAUGGAUGUUUAAUUGUUUUGAAAGUCAGGUAAUACUCCGUAACCCUUUUCCGGUGUUGAAUACAGGUGAGGGGUGUUACACGAAUUUGUAAAUAUGUUUAAUUGAAUGUUGUGUUUGUAUGUAAUGUGAAUUAUAUUGAUAUGAUUUAUUUGAUUGCUAUAAUGAAUGUUUGAGUACAUGCUUGAAAUGAUGAUAAAGUGGUAAGUCCCGAUUGAAUACUGAAUUCCGAUGAUUAUAUGUGCUUUCCCGAAACUAAUAAGGUCCUGCAUUUGUUGCGGACGAGAUUUAGCUCGGACGAGUAAUCUCAUUGAUCUUGUUAUAGAAAGGAUUUAACCUAGAUAGGUAAUCCCAAUAUAAUGCCUCUCAAACAUACGUUAUGAUUACAGUUUAGCCUGAACUGGUAAUCCUAAUCGAGCUCCUCUGAGCUUACAUUAUAUAAAGGAUUUAGCCUGAACUGGUAAUCCUGUUAUACGAUAUGUGGCUCGAGAGAGUGUUUCUUGGUUAAGUUCCUUAAUGGGUACACUUGAGUAAGAAAUUGACAGAUUAUUGAAUCAUACACUACGAGUGUACUACUUAAGUAUCCAUCAGAAUUUAAUGAUUCAACGGACAUAAAAAUCUUGACAUGGCAUGAAAAUCUUGAGAUGAAAUGAUAAUGACUUGAAAGAAUAUUGCUUGAUGAGCUCAUCUAUGUUACUUGAUUGAUAUAAAGAUUUUGGUGACUAACAUGUUUGAUUGAAUGCAUUUGAUUAUGCAAUUUAGCCAAAUGGAUUGAAACAUAACAUUGUAUGCCUAGAUUAAAUAAACAAGAUUGGUAAGUUUAGUUUCCUUUAUACAAACUUACUAAGCUUGUAAUGCUUAUUCCAUUUUAUUUUUCCUCUAUUUUAUAAUGCUCGGAAGCUCGUGAAGGUUGGAAAAUCAUUGGAGCAUCGCCACACUAUCAACUAGUCAUUUUGGCAUAAUGGCAUGUAUAAGAAAACUUGGCCAAUAGUGGCUUGAAAUGUUAUUUUGUAACCUAGCCAUUGGAAUGGCUAGUAAUGGUUCAUUUGGGUAUGACUAAGUAGAUUAUUAUGAUAUAUAUAUACACAUGUGUUAUGUUAAGAAUAUGUGAUUAAUGUUGUGAAUGCCUAAGUUAAACUAAGGUAAGUUUGUGAACACAUAUGCAUGUAAUGAUUUGCCUUGUUGAAUGAUGGAAAUUGCCCAAUUUGAAUGC
rnacentral:lncRNA from 1 species